rnacentral:tRNA from 1 species
GCCUCAGUAGCUCAGCCUGGCAGAGCGACCGCCUCGUAAGCGGUAGGUCGAGGGUUCAAAUCCCUCCUGAGGCU